UGGUUCUAUCAAUUGUUCUUUUUCCUGGUCAGCUGCCUUCUUUAAAGAGAUGCUCUUGGAUGAAAUACAGCAAGGAAGAUGCAGCCAGGAGUGAUACAAGACCUUCAAAAACAGAG